rnacentral:rRNA from 1 species
GAUGAACGCUGGCGGCGUGCCUAAUACAUGCAAGUCGAGCGAACAGACGAGGAGCUUGCUCCUCUGACGAUAGCGGCGGACGCGUGAGUAACACGUGGAUAACCUACCUAUAAGACUGGGAUAACUUCGGGAAACCGGCGCUAAUACCGGAUGAUAUAUUGAACCGCAUGGUUCAAUAGUGAAAGACGGUUUUGCUGUCACUUAUAGAUGGAUCAGCGCCGCAUUAGCUAGUUGGUAAGGUAACGGCUUACCAAGGCAACGAUGCGUAGCCGACCUGAGAGGGUGAUCGGCCACACUGGAACUGAGACACGGUCCAGACUCCUACGGGAGGCAGCAGUAGGGAAUCUUCCGCAAUGGGCGAAAGCUUGACGGAGCAACGCCGCGUGAGUGAUGAAGGUCUUCGGAUCGUAAAACUCUGUUAUUAGGGAAGAACAAAUGUGUAAGUAACUAUGCACGUCUUGACGGUACCUAAGCAGAAAGCCACGGCUAACUACGUG